rnacentral:tRNA from 4 species
UGCGGGAUGGAGCAGCCCGGUAGCUCGCGAGGCUCAUAACCUCGAGGUCGUCAGUUCGAAUCUGGCUCCCGCAAC